CCUACGGGCGGCAGCAGUGGGGAAUAUUGCACAAUGGGGGAAACCCUGAUGCAGCAACGCCGCGUGAAGGAAGACGGUUUUCGGAUUGUAAACUUCUGUUCUUAGUGAAGAAUAAUGACGGUAGCUAAGGAGCAAGCCACGGCUAACUACGUGCCAGCAGCCGCGGUAAUACGGAGGAUGCGAGCGUUAUCCGGAUUUAUUGGGUUUAAAGGGUGCGCAGGCGGAAGAUCAAGUCAGCGGUAAAAUUGAGAGGCUCAACCUCUUCGAGCCGUUGAAACUGGUUUUCUUGAGUGAGCGAGAAGUAUGCGGAAUGCGUGGUGUAGCGGUGAAAUGCAUAGAUAUCACGCAGAACUCCGAUUGCGAAGGCAGCAUACCGGCGCUCAACUGACGCUCAUGCACGAAAGUGUGGGUAUCGAACAGGAGUAGAUACCCGAGUAGUC
rnacentral:rRNA from 1 species